rnacentral:misc_RNA from 1 species
AAGUCGUAACAAGGUUUCCGUAGGUGAACCUGCGGAAGGAUCAUUAAUAAUUUUUUUUCAUCUAAUGAUGAAUAAAAAAAUUAACCUUGUGUGCAAACAUUGCUUUGAAAGGAAGAAGGUGAAUAGAGAGAAAAAAGGUGAAGCUCCUUUGCAAAAAGGUAGUGGAUCCAAUUUUCUUUCUCAUUUUCAUCCUAAAAACAAAAAACACAUCAUCAAACUUUUAUGUAAAACAAAAAUAUAUUUAUAAUAAAAUACAACUUUCAACAACGGAUCUCUUGGCUCUC